ACUUUCACCAACGGAUCUCUUGGCUUCUGGCAUCGAUGAAGAACGCAGCGAAAUGCAAUAAGUAAUGUGAAUUGCAGAAUCCAGGGAAUCUUCGAAUCUUUGAACCCACCUUGCGCCCUUUGGUAUUCCGAGGGCCAUGCCUGUUUGAGAGCCAUUAA
rnacentral:rRNA from 1 species